AUACGGGAGGCAGCAGUAGGGAAUAUUGGACAAUGGGCGAAAGCCUGAUCCAGCAAUGCCGCGUGAGUGAAGAAGGCCUUCGGGUUGUAAAGCUCUUUCACCCGUGACGAUGAUGACGGUAACGGGAGAAGAAGCCCCGGCUAACUCCGUGCCAGCAGCCGCGGUAAUACGGAGGGGGCAAGCGUUGUUCGGAAUUACUGGGCGUAAAGGGCGCGUAGGCGGCUUGGCAAGUUGGGCGUGAAAGCCCUGGGCUUAACCCAGGAAUUGCGCUUGAGACUGCCGGGCUUGAGUGCGGGAGAGGUGAGUGGAAUUCCCAGUGUAGAGGUGAAAUUCGUGGAUAUUGGGAAGAACACCAGUGGCGAAGGCGGCUCACUGGCCCGCAACUGACGCUGAGGCGCGAAAGCGUGGGGAGCAAACAGGAUUAGAUACCCUGGUAGC
rnacentral:rRNA from 1 species